GACAGAGGGUGCAAACGUUGCUCGGAAUCACUGGGCGUAAAGGGCGUGUAGGCGGGUAGGCAAGUCGGGCGUGAAAUCCCUGAGCUCAACUCAGGAACUGCACUUCGAAACUGCUUAUCUUGAGUGCCGGAGAGGAAAGCGGAAUACCUGGAUGUAGAGGUGAAAUUUCGAUAGAUAUCAGGUGGAACACCAGUGGCGAAGGCGGCU
rnacentral:rRNA from 1 species